AGUCCACUUCACUGUCAGUGUAACAUUGAUCCCAGCAGUCCACUGGGCUGACUUGGAAAGUAUUCCUAAUAAUAUCAAGGUAGAUGACAAGAAAUUAGAUCCUCUUGAAGAAUAAAAGGAUGCUGUGUUCGAGAGCGGUAGCGUUUUUAUGAAGACAUGUAAUUAAAGGAAGCCAUUAAAGAUACUUGUAAAAAUGA